CUGUGCACGUGACACUCCAGGUAGCGCGCGAUCUCACUGCCUAGACACAAAACGCUCUUUGCUCACAGAUUCAUGUAGGGUGACACCACACACAAACGGCGGGAAAAACAGGACAGCACACAUGUAAAAACACACACACACACACGCAUGCACACACACCUAGCACAGAUCGCUACAAUAUGAUGGACCUGCAAUCAACAUGAAGACAACUUCUACAUGUCUGAAGAAGAAGCAGUUCCAACCCCUGGGCCUCCAAACAAUGGAAGAUACUGUACAAAGCAAUGUGAGGGCGAGCGGAGCAGAGUGUACCUAUUUUGUCUGGAGCUGGGGAGCGGAGCGGGGAUCACAAGCAGUGGAGCGGAAUGGAAGAAAGAGCGGAGCUCACAUUCUCUGAUUAGAAUAUGUAUUCUGUCAUAUGUUUUAAUAUAUAUGUUUUUACAAUAUUUAUAAAUAUCAAAAAACGAGUGGAUACAAGCAGAUAAUAUUUCAUUAACUAU